rnacentral:rRNA from 1 species
AACGAACGCUGGCGGCAUGCCUAACACAUGCAAGUCGAACGAAGGCUUCGGCCUUAGUGGCGCACGGGUGCGUAACGCGUGGGAAUCUGCCCUUGGGUUCGGAAUAACUCAGAGAAAUUUGAGCUAAUACCGGAUGAUGACGUAAGUCCAAAGAUUUAUCGCCCAAGGAUGAGCCCGCGUAAGAUUAGCUAGUUGGUGGGGUAAAGGCCUACCAAGGCGACGAUCUUUAGCUGGUCUGAGAGGAUGAUCAGCCACACUGGGACUGAGACACGGCCCAGACUCCUACGGGAGGCAGCAGUGGGGAAUAUUGGACAAUGGGGGAAACCCUGAUCCAGCAAUGCCGCGUGUGUGAAGAAGGCCUGCGGGUUGUAAAGCACUUUUGGCAGGGAAGAAAAGCACUGGCCGAAUACGCCAGUGUGUUGACGUAACCUGCAGAAGAAGCACCGGCUAACUCUGUG